rnacentral:lncRNA from 1 species
CCAAAGGCACAAUCAAAAAUCGCCCACGACGGCGGGCCACAUCCAAACCACCCUAAAUUAUCACCUUUCUUAUUCCCAAUCUCCAGUCCAUCUCUCCUAAAAACCCUUCAAUCUCGUCAUUUAGUAAAUCUAGGAAUUUCAAAAAACUUUGCCUCUUUUUUGAUUUCUCUUGAUGAGAGCAAUCGAUGGACGUUAGUUUUGGUUCAUUUUAUAGCCACCAGAACCCGGUCAAAUCCCGUUGACUGGCGAGUUUUCUCUCCAAUUGCUCCAUUUUUGUUUCUUUGAUCUGUCCAAGUCCAAUAUGUAUGAUUCUCAUCUCGUUUCUUUAAGUUUCAGUUGCAUCCCCAUUCCCGUCUCUCUUUUACUCUAUCUCUGUCAAGAAAGCAUGUUUGGUGCUCAACUUGUUUGAUGUUAAUUUUUACAAUAGGCUAUUUAGUUUCUCAAAUUCGCAAUUAGCUUCCUAUUUUCAAGAUUGAACACCUCAGGAUUUCAUAUAGAGAUCAAAUGUUUUGGUAAUUAAUAAGCAUGUUGUGUUCAUCAUUAUUUGUUGGAUUUAACCGGUUUCUAUGGUCACAUAAUAAUUGUUUCAAUGGUUUAGUCUUGUUGUUGAGUUUUUCUAUCUUUUUUUAUUAUUAUUUCGUUUUGAGUUUGUUAUGUUCUUUAGUUGGAUUGAAGCUUGAUAUUGAAAGCCAUUUGUCCUAGGCUUAGGGUGCAAAUGGAUGGUAAAUAACAGAGGUUCUUGGGCGUAGUUGGGGGAAUAGAUUUAGGGAAUCUCUCAAUUAAUUUCCAUUGGUAAUAAAUCAAGUAAAAGGGGUCGGGUAUUACGGGCGUGAGAGGUAAAAAGCAGAAAAUAAAAGGAUUAGAAAGAAAAAAAAAUAACUUAAAGCAGCCUUAGAAUCUGUUAUAAAAAGAGCACCACUCUUCACACUUUAGGGGGCAUUCAUUCAUAGCAUUCAUAAGCAGCUUGAAAAAAAACUCUGCAAUACAAAAGUCAAAUCUAAAAACAAUUCAAAAAAGGCUUCAAACAAAAACCAAAAAAAAAAAAAAGCAAAUUAGGAUUUCAAGGAAUUGCUUCAAUUUAUGUUGGUUUGGCUACGAUUUUCUGGGUUGUUGAAGAAUAUUUUAAGUUUCGAAAGGCUUGAUUUGUUGUUGUUAUCCCUGCUGUUAGCUGAUCUCCAUCCUUCUUUCCUUAUGCCUUUAUUUGGCUGUUGUCAUUUUAUUUUCUCCGCACACAGAAUCCGUGUACUCAUGUUUGAUAUAUAAGAGUGAUUUCUCAAGUUAUCUCUUAACGUGUUGAAUGAAUUCUGUUGAGCCUGAUGUUUUGUUUCUAUGUGUUAUGAAAUGUUCUCUUAGUGUUCAAUUGUUUUUGGUCAGAACUGGUUAAAAACCUUACACUCAUGAAUUGUUACAUAAUUAGUCAAAAUUCAUCAGUUAAAAUAGCAUGUGAUAGAAUCUACAUAUUUCUCUACAUAUUAAUUCAGAUCUGGAAAUUUCAGUAGUUGAUUCAUGCAUAACUUUAGACUUAAAUAUAGGCUACGGGUUAGAUAUUGUGACUGCAAAAGUGUUGAUUCUGAGUAUUUCCAAAUUGUGUCCAAAUCAUUCUGACGAACACAUCCAGCGAGAGAUCUUCAUUUUUGGAAGGCUAACCAUUUUGUGGGUCAAAUCCAUGAGUUAGAAAAUAGGACAGACCUGAUAGGCACUGUUUGUACAUUUAAUGAACAACUGCUAUAAGAGUUUCAACUAAUUUGUUACAUGUUAUGGUUAAUGCAAUUUAGAAGUAGCUUGUUACUAUUGUAUUCAUAAAUAUGGCAGUUUUGUUUAGUGAAUUCAUUGAUAAGGCCUGUAAUAGCUAUAUCUCUUAAUAUUCAAACUAUAACCAAGACGCGUUAAUU